CAGGCUUUCAGUGUACAUUACAGGAAGAGGCUUUGUGGGCAAAAGCAUAUCUUAAGGAACUUGAAGAAAUGAUAAAAAUUGUAGCCAAGAUUCCUCCUCACAUUUAAAUGACUUGAACACCAAAUUACAGGGAUGUGGUAAAACACUUGAUGUUAUGUUUGAUAAUAUGAAUGCCUUUGAUAUCAAACUGCGUAUAUCAGUGUGAUGCUCUCUGAAGAAGGGUUUCGGCCCGAAACGUCGACUGUCUGCUCAUCUUCCUGGAUGCUAAUUCCUCCAGCAUUUUGUGUACGUUGCAUUGAGAGCCCAGACUCCAUGCACACAGAAGCGAAUGCGUCACAAACUACCAACCCACCCACUCCAGUAGGCACCACCUACUUCAGCGGUAGAAGAUUCUAUACUGAUCUCAUUCGUCAUCCUGGAACCCACAAAACUGGAGUGGGGUGAAGUCAUCUCUGAUCCCAGGGAACCACCUACAAAGCAGGAGAUGAUGAUUCCAGGACAGCUGCAGCUGUCAUUAGGCAUAAAAGUGUCCAGUUUCCAAUUUUUAGAAAAACUGUUUAAACUAAACUGAAGAUAACCAUGCAAGAACAGAGAAGACAGGAACAGAGGAAAUGUCCUGGGUCCAGCAUGCAAAUGCCAUUACAAAGAACGCAAGACAGCGCCUCUACUUUUAGAAGUUUGCGAAGAUUCAGCACGUCGUCUAAAACUUGGACAAACUUCUACAGAUGUGUGGUGGAGAAUGUACCGACUGGUUACAUCACGGCCUAGUAUGGAAAUAGCAAUUUUCCUUGGACAAAAUACCUACAACAAAAAUGUAGUGGAUACGGCCCAGUCCAUCGUGGGCAAAACCCUCCCCACCAUCGAGCCACAAGGAGUGCUGUUGCAGGAAAGCAGCAUCCAUCAAGGACCGCACUACGCAGGCCAUGCUCUCUUCUCAUGGCUGCUCUCAGGGAGGUGGUACAGGAGCCUCAGGACCCAUACCACCAGGCCCAGGAACAGUUAUUAUCCCUCAACCAUCAGAUUCUUGAACCAGAGGGGAUAACUUCACCCACCCAAUACUGAACUGUUUCCACAACCUAUGAACUCACUUUCACAGACUCCUAAUCUCAUGUUCUCGAUAUUUAUUACUUUCUUUAAAAAAAAACUUACUUUGUAUUUCAAUUUGUCGUCUUUUGCACACUGGUUGUUUAUGUAUCUUGUUGUGUGCAUUUUUUUCAUUGAUUCUAUUGCGUUUCUUGUAUUUACUGUGAAUGCCCACAAAGUGAA